AUCCUACGGGAGGCAGCAGUAGGGAAUCUUCCACAAUGGGCGAAAGCCUGAUGGAGCAACGCCGCGUGGGUGAAGAAGGUCUUCGGAUCGUAAAACCCUGUUGUCAGAGAAGAAAGUGCGUGAGAGUAACUGUUCACAUUUCGACGGUAUCUAACCAGAAAGCCACGGCUAACUACGUGCUAGCAGCCGCGGUAAUACGUAGGUGGCAAGCGUUAUCCGGAUUUAUUGGGCGUAAAGGGAACGCAGGCGGUCUUUUAAGUCUGAUGUGAAAGCCGUCGGCUUAACCGGAGUAGUGCAUUGGAAGU
rnacentral:rRNA from 1 species